UUAUCCCUGGGCUUAGUGGAAUUCAAAUACCUGACCAUAGGACACCAAGGGCUUUGGGACCUGAAAGGCACAUCAUGUCCUGGUGACAUCUGAGUUACCUGGGGCAUGCACAGCCAGCCUCCAGCAUCCCAGGGAGAGCUGUGUAUGGGGUCAGGCUCAAGCAGGUCCCAGGGCACCAGUGACCCAAUGGGUGACUCAGACUCCCAUGGCACCUGCUCCUUCUGUUUCUCCCUCCACCAUAUAUAUGAGCUCAUGGGAAACACUGUGUGACCUCUUACAGAGGAGGAAAGUGCAUGGACUUCCAGUUUCUAGAACUGUGAUACAAUAAACUCCUGUUGCUUAUCUACUCCUCUACAGUAUUUUGUCAUGGCAGCCCUAGCAAACUACUACAGGGACUGUGAGGGUUAAGAUGACACCAAACAUCAAAUGCCACUCCCUGUUCCAACACUGAGACCAUUCCACAGCCUCUGAAUGACAAGACAGGCCUUCAAAAUCAAGACCACCUGGCUAGAUUCUGGAUAUUAGCCUUCUGUCAGAUGGAUAGAUUAAAGCUUGCAAGCUGAAACUCAACAACUUAUGUAAACUUCUGGAGAAAUCACAGCAACUUACAUAUAAACAACCCUUGUGCCUGCUGAUGUGUGGACUACAGAAAAGGUACACAUGAACACUGUAUUCAGACUGCAAUUUAGAGAAAUGUGUCAGAUUACCACUGCAAUUGGAAGAUGCUUCAGAAACUCUAGAAAACCUAGUCUAUAGACUGCUCCAGACAUUACAGGGUUCACUCUCAAGCUCUGGCUCAAUAAAACUCAAUUGGUCAAGACCCUUGCCUCAGUCAGUCUUUCUGGAUAUCCACCAUGAGUCCUGCAAAGCCCUUCAGUAAUCUAUUGCCUGCCUAGGUGAUGUGUACCCAGCAUGGCAGUCAGCCCUGCAGGAACCAGGAUAAGAGAAAAGGCCAUCAUACCUGCCAGUCUUCCUGAAAUACAGAAAUGACUUCACGGCUGCUAUAUUGGAUUAAGGAGAGGAAGACGUCCUAUUCCUGAAGGAGCUGUCAUGGAAAGAAAAGUAAAGAAGGAAUGAAGGUGAUGUUAUUUUACAUGGGGGAGCCUCAGGAAGAGGCAUGUAGCAUGAGGUACUCUAUAAUUGUUUCUUCAAGUACUACAUUAUUCCUCUUGGGAAAUUGAUGGGAGAUGAUUAUAUUCUUGCAGUUUUUUUUUUCCCUCUCACCAUGUUUCUAGGAUGGUGAUCAGUCCUCUGUCAAAUCUCUACUGCACUCAGAUAUUUUGGAAGGCUUUCAGACAUAAGAAAGGCUGAUUGCUAUUUUCUAUGUCAUUAGAACUUACCACCUUUUCACCUUUUCAUGGUUGCAUCUUUUUCUCAGUCUCUCUGUUGUGGCAGCCAUGAAUGAGACUCUGUCAGGUCUCCAUGGCAGGGAGCUGAUUGACAGAAGGCCCACGUCCGUGCAUUUCACAUUCAUCACCUCCUUUGCACAGAAAGCUUCUUUCCCACAGGCUCCCAGGAAGGGCGUGAAAGCAAGCCUAGUUCUCUGAGGCUCUCUUUAACUCUAAAGGGUGACUGGUUGGAGGACUCCCCCUCAGCCUUGCAAAAACUCUUAGAACUGCAUUGGUACCUAAAACUUCUUUCUCUUUCUUUUUCACAGGAAUCAGCUCUGCAUAGUGGUCUGUGGGUUCUCCCAUACUGCCUUCAUGUCUGCCCCACAUUCCCUCACAGGUGUCCUCCCUGAUAAAUUAUCUUGUAUGUCUAAUCCCAUCUUGGGUGCAUCUCAGUUGGUAAAAACUAACAUAUCAGGCUUGAUUCUUUGCACUUAGCUUUUUUUCCUUCUCUCCCACAAGUAGUCAGUAACCAUGUCCUAGUGUUUUAUGUGUUACCUCUUUUUCCAUAUAUAUGGAAAAAGGUAGGUACUGUUGAGGGGCAUUUCCUAUGUGCCAGGCCCUGUGCUAAAUACUUUACCUGUAUCUCAUUUAAUCCACACAAUAACCCUGUCAGGUAGAAAUUAUUUCCACUUUGCUGAUGAAAAGACAGAAGCUUAUCAUGGUGUAAAAACUUUCCUGGUGUCAUAUGGCUAGUGACAGGUGGAUCUGAAAUUUGAUUCUAGGACUAUUUGACCUCAAGGCUAAUGAUGAUGGUAGUAAUAUAGCAGCUGACAUUGGCUCCUCUGUGUGGCAUCUUGUUUCAUUGAUUGCAUUAAACAUUUAAAAGAAUGGUAUGAAGAAAGCACUCUCAUUGCAAUUUUCAGGUGAGGAAUCAGAGGUUCAGAGAAGUUGAGUCUUGUGCAAGAAAUUUAUAACUGUAAACUCUUACAUUAAAAAAGAAGAAAGAUCUCAGGUCAACAACCUACUUUAAUACUUCAGGAUAUGAAAGAAGAACAAACUAAACCCAAGCACAGUGAAUGAGGGAAAUAAUAAGGAUUAGAGUGGACAUAAAUAAAAUGGAGAAUGGAAAAA